rnacentral:rRNA from 1 species
CGCGUAGGCGGCUUGGUCAGUCGAAUGUGAAAGCCCCGGGCUUAACCUGGGAAUUGCACUCGAUACUGCUUGGCUAGAGUAUGGGAGAGGGAAGUGGAAUUUCCGGUGUAGCGGUGAAAUGCGUAGAUAUCGGAAGGAACACCAGUGGCGAAGGCGACUUCCUGGCCCAAUACUGACGCUGAGGUGCGAAAGCGUGGGUAAGCAAACA